rnacentral:rRNA from 1 species
UCCUACGGGAGGCAGCAGUGGGGGAUAUUGGACAAUGGGGGGAACCCUGAUCCAGCGACGCCGCGUGAGUGAAGAAGUAUUUCGGUAUGUAAAGCUCUGUCAGCAGGGAAGAAAGCAAUGACGGUACCUGACCAAGAAGCCCCGGCUAACUACGUGCCAGCAGCCGCGGUAAUACGUAGGGGGCAAGCGUUAUCCGGAUUUACUGGGUGUAAAGGGAGCGUAGACGGCCGUGCAAGUCUGAUGUGAAAACCCGGGGCUCAACCCCGGGACUGCAUUGGAAACUGCAUGGCUGGAGUGUCGGAGAG